UUCCAUUAAGGGUUUUCAGGUAUUCCAUUCAGGCUUUCUCAUUAAAAUUUUUCGAAACGUCGAUUUUUUUGCUUAUUCAGAUAGUUACAACGCCUCAAGAAUACUGUGUUCAAAUCUUUCGACGAUAUUCGUUACGGUUACAAUUCUACAGCCAUAAAAGUGACCGAGGAUCGGCACGCAGGUAGGAGGAGCAUGUAAAUAUAAUAAUUUCAUAUAAUAUAAUAAUCAUAAUAUAAUAAUAAUUGUUAGUGCGCUUGAAUUCAAGUGACUUCACGCUCUUUGAUAGAUCGAUAAUCGAUCCAUACAACUUCCGCCCUUUUUAUGAUAUUCGAUAUUACAUCCACUCCAGAAGGGACAUAGGUGACAUGUGACUCUAAAACCCGUAUUCAGAACUCGCUUUUAGUGCUAAUAGCGCGCUUUUAAAUUAUUUGUUAGUGAGUUUAUAGGUGAUCGUAUUCAGAACCGCUUGUAUGGUCACUCUUAAGGUCACUAACAGCUAAUAGCGCGCUAUUAGGGAAAAAGCCUAUUCAGAACCGCUUUUAAGCAUUUAUCAGCGCGCUAUUAGGUGCCAUCUUGUGACUAACAGCGACCUGUUCGGAGAUGUGGGCAGGGGCAUGUUUAAAGUGACAGGUCGCUCAAAUAUGGCGGAGCAAAUAGAGGCUAUUCCUGAGGUGGACAAAGUCCGCGAUGUCAAUGAAAUGAGAGUAAGAAAUCCGCAAGUUUUUCGAAAGAGACGUGAUCCGUUUGAAUUGUUUAGUAAUCGUGAAUUUCGAAACAGAUAUCGCUUAUCGAAAGACAGUGUACGAUUUGUGAUCAGUUUAGUGGAAGAUAGGUUAGUGUCUCAUGCCGGUCACCACAACGACAUAUCCCCAGCAAUGCAGGUACUUGUAACCCUGCGGUUCUAUGCUAAAGGAUGCUACCAGACAAAAUUAGGAGAUCUGCAUGGCAUUUUCCAGCCUAGCGUAUCCAGCAUAGUUGCAAAAGUAUCUGAUGCUAUUGCUGCACUGCUUCCAUGAUUUAUUGUGUAUCCAGCUAGAAUGGAAGCUCUUAAAAUGGAUUUUUACAACAUAGAUCACUUUCCUGGGGUUGUGGGCUGUAUUGAUUGCACCCACAUUGCAAUAACCCCAGUCGGGAGUGAGCUAUGUUGUAUGUUAACCGUAAGGGUUAUUAUUCUAUCAACAUGCAAGUAAUGUGUGAUGCUCAGAGACGAAUUCUGAAUAUUGUUGCUAAAUGGCGAGGCAGUGUUCAUGAUGCACGUAUAUGGGACUCGUGCUCUCUGAAGGAAGAGUUUGAUCCUCGAGGAUAAAGGGAAUCUUGCUUGGGGAUGCUGGAUACCCAUGCAAGCCAUACUUUCUGACACCAAUCCAAUCUCCUCAAACUCAACCUGAACAGAGGUAUAACAGGUCCCAUAAAUCUACGCGCAUAACUGUAAAGCACUGCUUUGGGGAAUGGAAGGGCAUGUUUAGCGCCCUUCGCAAUGUCAUGCAGAUAUCCCUUCCGACAGCGAAAACAGCCAUCAUUGCCAUGGCUGUUUUGUUUAACAUCAGGAAGGAGCACCAUGACAAUCAUGGUUAUGAUUCUGAUUUGGAUGAGGAAGAGGCCUGCGAAUUUUCUUCGGAAGGUAUAGAAGAGCAGCCUCUUCCUGAUUCUGUCCUGGUAGCAGGGAAUAUGUUCCGCAGGGACUUCGUGCGAAGAAAUUUUGCGUGAAGGAGUUCCUGCAUUGCUGAGGAUGCUGACGCUCUAACCUAUCUGCUCUAUCUGAUCAUCUAAGCACUGCCUUUCGAUGAAGAUAUCUGCUAGAAGUUCUACGAAAACUAAACAAUUCAAAUGGAUCAAGUUCCUUUCGAAAACCUUGUGGAUUUCUUACUCUCAUUUUAAUAAAUGAAACUUUGUUUUAUAUUAUAA